rnacentral:rRNA from 1 species
GACGAACGCUGGCGGCGUGCCUAAUACAUGCAAGUCGAACGAACUCUGGUAUUGAUUGGUGCUUGCAUCAUGAUUUACAUUUGAGUGAGUGGCGAACUGGUGAGUAACACGUGGGAAACCUGCCCAGAAGCGGGGGAUAACACCUGGAAACAGAUGCUAAUACCGCAUAACAACUUGGACCGCAUGGUCCGAGUUUGAAAGAUGGCUUCGGCUAUCACUUUUGGAUGGUCCCGCGGCGUAUUAGCUAGAUGGUGGGGUAACGGCUCACCAUGGCAAUGAUACGUAGCCGACCUGAGAGGGUAAUCGGCCACAUUGGGACUGAGACACGGCCCAAACUCCUACGGGAGGCAGCAGUAGGGAAUCUUCCACAAUGGACGAAAGUCUGAUGGAGCAACGCCGCGUGAGUGAAGAAGGGUUUCGGCUCGUAAAACUCUGUUGUUAAAGAAGAACAUAUCUGAGAGUAACUGUUCAGGUAUUGACGGUAUUUAACCAGAAAGCCACGGCUAACUACGUGCCAGCAGCCGCGGUAAUACGUAGGUGGCAAGCGUUGUCCGGAUUUAUUGGGCGUAAAGCGAGCGCAGGCGGUUUUUAAAGUCUGAUGUGAAAGCCUUCGGCUCAACCGAAGAAGUGCAUCGGAAACUGGGAAACUUGAGUGCAGAAGAGGACAGUGGAACUCCAUGU